ensembl:snRNA U2 U2 spliceosomal RNA
AUCACUUCUUGGCCUUUUGGCUAAGAUCAAGUGUAGUAUCCAUUUUUAUCAGUUUAAAAAAUUGAAAAACUAGCCGGGUGUUGUGGUGGGUGACUAUAGUCCCAGCUUCU